rnacentral:rRNA from 1 species
UGGGGAAUAUUGCACAAUGGGCGAAAGCCUGAUGCAGCAACGCCGCGUGAGGGACGACGGCCUUCGGGUUGUAAACCUCUUUUAGCAAGGAAGAAGCGAAAGUGACGGUACUUGCAGAAAAAGCGCCGGCUAACUACGUGCCAGCAGCCGCGGUAAUACGUAGGGCGCAAGCGUUAUCCGGAAUUAUUGGGCGUAAAGAGCUCGUAGGCGGUUUGUCGCGUCUGCUGUGAAAACCCGAGGCUCAACCUCGGGCCUGCAGUGGGUACGGGCAGACUAGAGUGCGGUAGGGGAGAUUGGAACUCCUGGUGUAGCGGUGGAAUGCGCAGAUAUCAGGAAGAACACCGAUGGCGAAGGCAGAUCUCUGGGCCGUAACUGACGCUGAGGAGCGAAAGGGUGGGGAGCAAACAGGCUUAGAUACCCUGGUAGUCCACCCCGUAAACGUUGGGAACUAGUUGUGGGGUCCAUUCCACGGAUUCCGUGACGCAGCUAACGCAUUAAGUUCCCCGCCU